rnacentral:rRNA from 1 species
GAUGAACGCUGGCGGCGUGCCUAAUACAUGCAAGUCGAGCGAACAGACGAGGAGCUUGCUCCUCUGACGUUAGCGGCGGACGGGUGAGUAACACGUGGAUAACCUACCUAUAAGACUGGGAUAACUUCGGGAAACCGGCGCUAAUACCGGAUAAUAUAUUGAACCGCAUGGUUCAAUAGUGAAAGACGGUUUUGCUGUCACUUAUAGCUGGAUCCGCGCCGCAUUAGCUAGUUGGUAAGGUAACGGCUUACCAAGGCAACGAUGCGUAGCCGACCUGAGAGGGUGAUCGGCCACCCUGGAACUGAGACGCGGUCCAGACUCCUACGGGAGGCAGCAGUAGGGAAUCUUCCGCAGUGGGCGAAAGCCUGACGGAGCAACGCCGCGUGAGUGAUGAAGGUCUUCGGAUCGUAAAACUCUGUUAUUAGGGAAGAACAAAUGUGUAAGUAACUAUGCACGUCUUGACGGUACCUAAUCAGAAAGCCACGGCUAACUACGUG